rnacentral:rRNA from 1 species
CCUACGGGAGGCAGCAGUGGGGAAUAUUGCACAAUGGGCGAAAGCCUGAUGCAGCGACGCCGCGUGAGGGAUGACGGCCUUCGGGUUGUAAACCUCUUUCAGCAGGGAAGAAGCGAAAGUGACGGUACCUGCAGAAGAAGCGCCGGCUAACUACGUGCCAGCAGCCGCGGUAAUACGUAGGGCGCAAGCGUUGUCCGGAAUUAUUGGGCGUAAAGAGCUCGUAGGCGGCUUGUCACGUCGGAUGUGAAAGCCCGAGGCUUAACCUCGGGUCUGCAUUCGAUACGGACUAGCUAGAGUGUGGUAGGGGAGAUCGGAAUUCCUGGUGUAGCGGUGAAAUGCGCAGAUAUCAGGAGGAACACCGGUGGCGAAGGCGGAUCUCUGGGCCAUUACUGACGCUGAGGAGCGAAAGCGUGGGGAGCGAACAGGAUUAGAUACCCUGGUAGUCCACGCCGUAAACGUUGGGAACUAGGUGUUGGCGACAUUCCACGUCGUCGGUGCCGCAGCUAACGCAUUAAGUUCCCGCCUGGGGNGCGCGCAGANAACUAAUAGAUGNGNGNGNGAGNGCGAGCGACGACGAGGAG